GUGGUGACAGAUAGCAGAGCAAAGGAAAGAGAAUGGCCAGCAUUCACGAGCACACACAGACCUCACCCUUUGUCCGUGGGAGGGACCAGGACGGGUAGCACUGCUCUUUCAAAUGGCUUUGACGUGCAAAUUAGGUACUCUGCACAGGGCUUCUUUUCUGAAAAGCUUCCCCCAGCAGGCCUUGCUGGGAAAGGCUGCCUUCUCCCUUGGCUGCUGAUUUGGGAAAGCACCUGGGCCAGGGUUAGUUCAGGAGAGCUUGAAUGGCUGCAGACAGUUCCAGUUGGUCUGUUACGUGAGUUUGUUUGUAGAUGAGAAGUUCCCCCAUGGGAUGUGCUGAAAGUAUCCCUGGAGAACACAGAGCUCCUGAAGCAGACUUCCUUCAUGUCCCCUCAUGGAAAGUCAGUUCCCUCUGCCAUUCCAGGCCUGCGUCACACUGGCCACCAACCACUCGUGUGUGCACAUGAAAGGUGGAGUGUAGCAAGGCUUUAUGAAGCCCCAGAAAAGGGGAUCAGAUAGCUGGAUAUUUUUCUUUUCCCCUUCUGCGUGUCAUUUAAUGAUGGUGUCCAUGCUCGCAACAGUCUGCCAGGAUCUUCAGUUGUAGGUGAUGAAUGUAUGUCUAUGUCCCAUGCGACUUGAACCCCAAGCUGUAAAACGCAAGCAUUAUAUCCUUAAACUACAAGAGUUCCCUUUAUAGAUUUUCAGCUUGCUAAUUGUGGGGCUUCCUACCAUGCACAGGGCCUGAUCCUAAUUAGCUUCUGACACUAGACACACUCGGUGUAAUAUGGCUA
rnacentral:sRNA from 1 species